CCAGAAACGAGAAAUAACCGUCUUUAAAUACAGCUGAAAACGGAGAACGCAUAUUGAAUACACCGCAAGCACGAUACACGGCAUCCAUGUCGGGAUCGAAAAACGUUUAAUAAAAAGAUGACUGAACGAAGAACGAAUAAUUAAAUUACCCCAAUACGCAGCACGAAAAUACCCCAUUACCCCCCUCUUAUGUAGAAAUAUAACAGAUAUGUACCUGGCCCAGUGAAGCAGAUAAUCGAGGAAAGCAACACGAAAACCUGAGUGGUUGAUAGCAUCAUGGCGAUGCUCGGAGAUCUCAUAAAAGGGCAAGAGGUUAAAUCAGAUUCCACAGCGACAAUAAUGUGCCCAAGCGGAUGAUGCUCAAACAAUGUUUACACUCGUUCGUGACGUAUAACUAUUAUAAUUUCAUGAUAUGCAUAUAAAUUCGGAGUUACCAUCGCUGUUAUUAGAUAGCA